rnacentral:rRNA from 1 species
CGCGUAGGCGGUACGCCAAGUCUGGGGUGAAAUCUUUCGGCUCAACCGGAAAAUUGCCUGGGAUACUGGCGUGCUCGAGGGAGGUAGGGGCAGCGGGAACUGCCAGUGGAGCGGUGAAACGCGUUGAUAUUGGCAGGAACGCCGGUGGCGAAAGCGCGCUGCUGGACCUCUUCUGACGCUGAGGCGCGAAAGCUAGGGGAGGCAAACG